AAAGGAUGUGGAGUGGAUGGAGGGUGCUGUGGAGCACUGAACAGCCUCAGCACCAGAGUGGUUCUCAGCUGUUAUGCUGUGAAAAUAACAGAAUCUGCUUGUCAGACAGGCAGGAACAAGAAGCAGUUUUUUACCAGUGUAGCUGACAGGAGAUAUCAUGACAAGGUCUUGAAAUAAUCCUUUCUGUUACUAGUUGAAUUUCAAGUCCCUGAUGUCAGGGGCAUGAUUAGCAGGAAUAAGAGACUCCAGGCUUACAGAAGGUUGAGACAGAAUUAUCAGGCAAUAUUGGAACAAAGAAGCUCCCUUCAGCUCAUCCCACUUGAUCUCAUAAUUAGGGACUCUCUGGGCCUGAGGGAAGUUUGAACAGU